rnacentral:rRNA from 1 species
GGAUGAACGCUGGCGGCGUGCCUAAUACAUGCAAGUCGAGCGAACAGAUAAGGAGCUUGCUCCUUUGAAGUUAGCGGCGGACGGGUGAGUAACACGUGGGUAACCUACCUAUAAGACUGGGAUAACUUCGGGAAACCGGAGCUAAUACCGGAUAACAUUUAGAACCGCAUGGUUCUAAAGUGAAAGAUGGUUUUGCUAUCACUUAUAGAUGGACCCGCGCCGUAUUAGCUAGUUGGUAAGGUAACGGCUUACCAAGGCGACGAUACGUAGCCGACCUGAGAGGGUGAUCGGCCACACUGGAACUGAGACACGGUCCAGACUCCUACGGGAGGCAGCAGUAGGGAAUCUUCCGCAAUGGGCGAAAGCCUGACGGAGCAACGCCGCGUGAGUGAUGAAGGGUUUCGGCUCGUAAAACUCUGUUAUUAGGGAAGAACAAAUGUGUAAGUAACUGUGCACAUCUUGACGGUACCUAAUCAGAAAGCCACGGCUAACUACGUGCCAGCAGCCGCGGUAAUAC